UACAGAGGUCUCAAGCGUUGUUCGGAUUCAUUGGGCGUAAAGGGUGUGUAGGCGGCGCGGUAAGUCGGGUGUGAAAUCUCGGAGCUUAACUCCGAAACUGCAUUCGAUACUGCCGUGCUUGAGGACUGGAGAGGAGACUGGAAUUUACGGUGUAGCGGUGAAAUGCGUAGAUAUCGUAAGGAAGACCAGUGGCGAAGGCGGGAUCCUGGGCCAGUACUGACGCUGAGGAGCGAAAGCGUGGGGAGCAAACAGG
rnacentral:rRNA from 1 species